rnacentral:rRNA from 1 species
ACUGAAUCCAUAGGUUAAUGAGGCGAACCGGGGGAACUGAAACAUCUAAGUACCCCGAGGAAAAGAAAUCAACCGAGAUUCCCCCAGUAGCGGCGAGCGAACGGGGAGGAGCCCAGAGCCUGAAUCAGCAUGUGUGUUAGUGGAAGCGUCUGGAAAGGCGCGCGAUACAGGGUGACAGCCCCGUACACAAAAGCGCAUGUGCUGUGAGCUCGAUGAGUAGGGCGGGACACGUGGUAUCCUGUCUGAAUAUGGGGGGACCAUCCUCCAAGGCUAAAUACUCCUGACUGACCGAUAGUGAACCAGUACCGUGAGGGAAAGGCGAAAAGAACCCCGGCGAGGGGAGUGAAAAAGAACCUGAAACCGUGUACGUACAAGCAGUGGGAGCACCCUUCGGGGUGUGACUGCGUACCUUUUGUAUAAUGGGUCAGCGACUUAUAUUCUGUAGCAAGGUUAACCGUAUAGGGGAGCCGGAGGGAAACCGAGUCUUAAUUGGGCGUUAAGUUGCAGGGUAUAGACCCGAAACCCGGUGAUCUAGCCAUGGGCAGGUUGAAGGUUGGGUAACACUAACUGGAGGACCGAACCGACUAAUGUUGAAAAAUUAGCGGAUGACCUGUGGCUGGGGGUGAAAGGCCAAUCAAACCGGGAGAUAGCUGGUUCUCCCCGAAAGCUAUUUAGGUAGCGCCUCGUGAAUUCAUCUCCGGGGGUAGAGCACUGUUUCGGCUAGGGGGCCAUCCCGGCUUACCAACCCGAUGCAAACUGCGAAUACCGGAGAAUGUUAUCACGGGAGACACACGGCGGGUGCUAACGUCCGUCGUGAAGAGGGAAACAACCCAGACCGCCAGCUAAGGUCCCAAAGUCAUGGUUAAGUGGGAAACGAUGUGGGAAGGCCCAGACAGCCAGGAUGUUGGCUUAGAAGCAGCCAUCAUUUAAAGAAAGCGUAAUAGCUCACUGGUCGAGUCGGCCUGCGCGGAAGAUGUAACGGGGCUAAACCAUGCACCGAAGCUGCGGCAGCGAACGUAUCACCCAAGACAACUUUACGGAGUUGACGAUUGACGGAGCGAAGCGACGUCAAAGCGUUCAUUAAAGUCGAGUUGGCUUAGGGAUACGUUCGUUGGGUAGGGGAGCGUUCUGUAAGCCUGUGAAGGUGUGUCGUGAGGCAUGCUGGAGGUAUCAGAAGUGCGAAUGCUGACAUAAGUAACGAUAAAGCGGGUGAAAAGCCCGCUCGCCGGAAGACCAAGGGUUCCUGUCCAACGUUAAUCGGGGCAGGGUGAGUCGACCCCUAAGGCGAGGCCGAAAGGCGUAGUCGAUGGGAAACGGGUUAAUAUUCCCGUACUUGGUGUUACUGCGAAGGGGGGACGGAGAAGGCUAUGUUGGCCGGGCGACGGUUGUCCCGGUUUAAGCGUGUAGGUGUGUGUUCCAGGUAAAUCCGGUUCACUUUAACACUGAGGCGUGACGACGAGGCACUACGGUGCUGAAGCAACAAAUGCCCUGCUUCCAGGAAAAGCCUCUAAGCAUCAGGUAACACGAAAUCGUACCCCAAACCGACACAGGUGGUCAGGUAGAGAAUACCAAGGCGCUUGAGAGAACUCGGGUGAAGGAACUAGGCAAAAUGGUGCCGUAACUUCGGGAGAAGGCACGCUGACACGUAGGUGAAGUGAUUUACUCAUGGAGCUGAAGUCAGUCGAAGAUACCAGCUGGCUGCAACUGUUUAUUAAAAACACAGCACUGUGCAAACACGAAAGUGGACGUAUACGGUGUGACGCCUGCCCGGUGCCGGAAGGUUAAUUGAUGGGGUCAGCGUAAGCGAAGCUCCUGAUCGAAGCCCCGGUAAACGGCGGCCGUAACUAUAACGGUCCUAAGGUAGCGAAAUUCCUUGUCGGGUAAGUUCCGACCUGCACGAAUGGCGUAAUGAUGGCCAGGCUGUCUCCACCCGAGACUCAGUGAAAUUGAACUCGCUGUGAAGAUGCAGUGUACCCGCGGCAAGACGGAAAGACCCCGUGAACCUUUACUAUAGCUUGACACUGAACAUUGAGCCUUGAUGUGUAGGAUAGGUGGGAGGCUUUGAAGUGUGGACGCCAGUCUGCAUGGAGCCGACCUUGAAAUACCACCCUUUAAUGUUUGAUGUUCUAACGUGGACCCGUAAUCCGGGUUGCGGACAGUGUCUGGUGGGUAGUUUGACUGGGGCGGUCUCCUCCUAAAGAGUAACGGAGGAGCACGAAGGUUGGCUAAUCCUGGUCGGACAUCAGGAGGUUAGUGCAAUGGCAUAAGCCAGCUUGACUGCGAGCGUGACGGCGCGAGCAGGUGCGAAAGCAGGUCAUAGUGAUCCGGUGGUUCUGAAUGGAAGGGCCAUCGCUCAACGGAUAAAAGGUACUCCGGGGAUAACAGGCUGAUACCGCCCAAGAGUUCAUAUCGACGGCGGUGUUUGGCACCUCGAUGUCGGCUCAUCACAUCCUGGGGCUGAAGUAGGUCCCAAGGGUAUGGCUGUUCGCCAUUUAAAGUGGUACGCGAGCUGGGUUUAGAACGUCGUGAGACAGUUCGGUCCCUAUCUGCCGUGGGCGCUGGAGAACUGAGGGGGGCUGCUCCUAGUACGAGAGGACCGGAGUGGACGCAUCACUGGUGUUCGGGUUGUCAUGCCAAUGGCACUGCCCGGUAGCUAAAUGCGGAAGAGAUAAGUGCUGAAAGCAUCUAAGCACGAAACUUGCCCCGAGAUGAGUUCUCCCUGAGACUUAGAGUCUCCUGAAGGAACGUUGAAGACGACGACGUUGAUAGGCCGGGUGUGUAAGCGCAGCGAUGCGUUGAGCUAACCGGUACUAAUGAACCGUGAGGCUUAACCUUACAACGCCGAAG